GCGGCGGUAGCUCAACUGGUAGAGCACCUGGUUGUGGUCCAGGAGGUCGCGGGUUCGACUCCCGUCCGUCGCCC
rnacentral:tRNA from 1 species